CCGGUGGGAUUGUCGUCCGUCU
rnacentral:miRNA from 1 species